ensembl:lncRNA LINC00658 long intergenic non-protein coding RNA 658
AGAUCUCUCUCUCUGCGGAAGCCAGCCACCGCUCUCCAAGGACUCUCGAGCAGCUCCAUCUACAGAUUCACAUGGAGAAGAAUUAAGGGUUCCUGCCAAUCACCAGCACCACUUUGCCAGCCUUGUAAGUGGGCCACCUUGGAAUUGGAGCCUCCAGUUCCUACUGACAUCUGACUGCAACAUCAUGAGAGACCCUGAGUUUGAACCACCCAGCUGAGCUGCUUCUGAGCUAACCCACUGAAACCGUGAAAGUACCUGAAUGAAACAACACCCAGUAGCCACUAGCACACCUAGCUCCCAGAUCUGUUUUUGAUGCCAUUCUUCAGUAAAAGGAAGCAAGGCUGCUUGGAGAAAUUGCUAUCAAGGACUGGGGUAGAAAAUAUACAAGAUGAAAUUGGAGCAUCUUGUAGUGCUUGAAAACAGUUGGCAUCUGUGUGAAGAUGUGAAUGGAGGAGGCAGAGUAGGCAGUGUGCCACCUCUUUGAUCCAGCAAGUGGGAAGAACAGUCCCGGCCUCUUUGCACACAAGACCGUGAUACCAAUGCACCAUCACAGGCCCCACAGGGGAGCUGUCCGCUUCCCCACACAGCUGCUAGGGGCUCUUUUGCAUGUUCCCAACCUUUCCUGCCUUUAUCUGAUAUUCGUUCCUUAGAUCCUGGGAUGAGGAGGUGGACCAGCAGAAGGUGGGCUUGUGAAGGCAGCCCGGGGUCCAAAUCCUCCUGGCUCUUCAGCUUAGCGGGUUAGUUAACAUUCAGAAGCCUUCAUCUCCCAUCUGCAAAAUGGGCAUGUCCAACUCAGAAGCUGCCUUGAAGAAAGGGUCUACCCAGCAUGGUGCGUGGAGCCUAAGCAGUCAGUACUUCAGGACUUCACCCGGCCCCUUUCCAAUAACUGCUGCUGUCGCCCUCACAGGAUGUCACCUUCAGCGUCUGAAAGCUGGGUUUGAUGCGUCUGGAAAGGCGUCCCUGACAGGCGUCGUUGCCAGGAGCCCCUAGUGCCACCAGCAGCCAGCAGGGGAGGGCGUCCUCUGCCCGCUCACUUCUGACCCUUCUCUCGUUGCACCCGGAACAUGGUGCAGCUGGGAGCAGCCUGGGCUGCGCGGAAGGCUCAGAUUUGGGGACGGCCCUUGCCAGUGACUGUGAGCUGGGGUGUCUUGGAAACUCCCAGUCUCAGCUUCUCCAUUUAUAAGAUGAGAAUGAUCAUACCAGACUCAGGCAAGGUUGUUUGUGCAUUAGUGAAAUCAGACGUAUUAAAUAAAGUACCACAUUGAUCGUGGAGUUGUUGAAUAACCAAGAA